UUAGAGAGGGGGCCUCACAAUUUUUCAGUCUCUACUGUUUUUUCUGAAGAAGCUCUUGUUUUUCUAAUCGUUUCCUUGCGGAGCUUUUCUAAUCGUCGAAUCAAGUUAGGGUUUCUCUUCUUAGUGUCUUUUCGAUUUGUAUGAUUCAACAAGAUCAUGUUUAUUAAUUUUCUGAUUGUUUUGUAUGAUUAGUAUCAUGUUUGGAUCUUAGAUCUGGAUGAUAUUAUGUUAAGGAAUUCUCUGGUUGUUUUGUAUGAUUAAGUAUACUUGGGACAGUAAUUGAUUGCUUGUUUAUAUGAUUGAUUCUGAUUUUCUUCCACUGCAUGAUUGAAAAAAAUUCAGGGCGUAUUCAUAUCUGAUUUGGGUAGUGUUGUUUUUGUUACUUUGCUAAUCCGAACAUAGAAAGAUCAAUUCAGACCUUACAUUUCAAUUGUUAAAGAACAUGUUCUUUGUAUACCUUAUUUAUAAGUAUUUAAUUAUGUUUGUCUUUCAAUUGAUAUCUCUCUGCAUUUUGGUUGAUUAUUUUUGUACUUUCAGUAAACUGAUUGCGUGUUUACGAAGAAGAUUAAGGAUCCGGAUAAUGUGAUAUACUAAGUAGACUUCCUGUGAAGAAAGUUAUGCAAUUCAGAUGUGUAUAUCAAAGUCCUAGUUUAAGCAGAUUGAAUGAUAUCCAGUUUUUAUGAAGUCACAUCUCUCACACUCCAGAAUGUCAGGGUAUUUUUUAGAGGACCCGAGAAUUGGUGGAAGUAUUAUUAAGCUGAUCCUCUAAAAAAAACUGAUGAUUCUGUGAGUGUGACAGCAUUUCUCAGUUUAUCUCAGAUUACUGGCACCGGUGAAUCACCACGCAUGAAUCCUUUCUGUUAUACAAAAAUUCCAGGAGUGGUAAAUGGGUUACCUUAUAUCUCACAUCACUUUGAAGAUAAAGUUUGCGUCUCCAAUUCGGCCACUAGAACUGACGAAUUGGUUAGCCUCCUGAGUUAGAAAGAAGAGUGUGGGAAAUGAAAAGGAAGGGGAAGGUGAACUAGUGAUUGGAUACAGUCAGGCUACAAAUCAGCUUAAAUUCUUAUGGAAAUGGUCAAUGGGAAAAGCUUCAGACAUGAAUAAGGUUCCUGAUGGUGCAAGAGAAGUGUGGGAAGUAUUAACUGUUGGCCAGGUCACUUGGAGAAUAAUCGAAAAGCAUGCUACUAUCGUUGCAGCCGUUUUGGUAUAUGCUGGCUGUUCUUAAUUUUCGUUCAUACCUUGAUGUGCAAGAGAAGGUGAAUGAAUUAAGGUUUCAUCUGUUUCGUUGUGUACAACGAAAGCAUGCUACUACCGCCAGCGUAUUUCCUUUCGAUUGGUCAAGUAGACAGAGAAUUGAAAGUUGUUAGGAUUUUCCUGCACAGGUUUGAACUGUGCUGUCUUUUGUUCUCGAUACAGAUGUUGAAAUAGGUAUGUAUAGAUGAGUGUAGAAUCUGUAUUGAUCCAAACAUGAUCCAUAUUAUUGAUCUAGUGAUACUUGAAAUGAUUAUUAACUUUAAAACAGAAUCUAUGGGUUAUAUCCCAGUUUAGGGCCUGUCCUGGUAUGUUGAUCAUAUAAAUUGUUCAUUGUUCAUUUUUGGUCAAAAUUGUCUAUAAACAGGCAUUUAUCUGUCAAAGAACCUGUAUUAAGUUGCUUCAUGAAAAUGGGAAGGUAGAUUAAUGUUUGAUCUAGACCCUGAUUUUAGCACCGUUGUUUGUAAUGUUUAAUUUUGUUGUUGUACUAUACAGCCAAUUCGCAGAGGAAGACCGUCUAAAUAAUGGUGUGACAUUUGCAUUGAAGGUUGGCAAUAUUAAUAGAUGAUUCUCCGUGCCUACUAAAAUUUCAAUUUUGGAAAAGGCCUCGAACAAGGUGCUAUAUCUCUUUAUACUGUUGAUUUUCUUUGCAUAUCUUGAAUGAAUUUAUGCUGCAUGCAAUAUCUUGAAAUGCUUAACAAAGUUGAAUUAAACUUUUGAGUGCUUGAUGUCGAUAUGCCCGAGUUAUUAAGGAUACAGACUUGAAAUAAAUCUGUUGGGCUUCACCCGCGCAGGUUCGAUCCCUGUUGUCGACGCAAUCCUUAAUUUUUGUGUAGUGUGUAUAGUUUUUAUUAGACCGUGUGUCAGGUAUUUGUUUGAUUGCCUGCGUUUUUUACACUUUGAGAUACGACUGUAUGACAGAUCUACUAUUAAACUUAUCCAGGUGGAGCAGUUGCAGUUGCAUAAACCAGUUACCACCCCCCUUUCAUAUUGGUUGGCCUUUCAUUUUAAAAGUUGUCUGUCUUAUUAUUAAUUAUAAUAAUAUUGAUGAUUUUCAUAAAUACUUUUUAGGUGGUCUAAAGCUAUUCGCUAUCUUGCGAUUCCUAUUGUGUUACGUUAUCUAAACAUCAAUCUACCUUCCGCCAAGGAGGGUUUGAAAUUGGAGGAAAGUGAGGUUGAAAGAAGGCUGAAUCUUUGAGGGAAUAGUUUGGGAGUCUAUGCAAGGUGACAGACUAGAGAAGGUCUUUGUCUCUGAGCGUGUUGUUGAAUCUCCUAAGAAGACCGUGGAGAUCAAUCCUGAAAAGUCAAUCAUAGAGGAGCUCAGGAAGAGGGCUGACGCCGACAAGAAUUGACUAGUCUGUGAAGCUUUGGUUCUCUUGUAGUUUGAGACUGCUGUUCUUACAUCUGGUUUCAUUCUUGAAGAGCCUACCACCUUCAGGAACUGAAUCCACAAGAUGUUGAAGUUGGGUUUGUGCAUUGAUGAAGAUAGUGCUUACGCUGAAGCAAACCCGAUAGUUUUUUUCCCGAUAUCAACAUUUAAAAAGGAUUAAGGAUUGGAAGAUAGCUUUUUUCCCGAUAUCAACAUUUAAAAAUCCAACGUGCUAUACGCAAGAAAACGCAAUGGAGUUGACAAAUCUCCGAUUUGGAAACCACCAUGGUUCUUCCUUUGAAAGCAACGCAAAGAUUGUCUAGGUACAAGAGAUAUGCUAUUCCGUCCCUAUGCUAGAAGGUAUAGUCCCAGAUAUAUAGCUGAUUGUUGGGGAGUUGAAGAAUACCUGACCCAGAAAGAAAUCAAAUGGUGGUAUUAAUACCACUAGUUCAUUAAAGUUACAAAGAUUUAUAAGCACAAGAGGAAGAGGCCCGUUGAAGUUGUUAAAAUUUAAAGUUAUGAAGUC